rnacentral:rRNA from 1 species
CCUACGGGGCGCAGCAGUGAGGAAUAUUGGUCAAUGGGCGCGAGCCUGAACCAGCCAAGUCGCGUGAGGGAAGCCGGUCCUAUGGCUUGUCCCCCUCUUUUGUCGGGGCGCCACCGACGCCACGCGUGGCGUUCCGAGAGUACCCGAAGAAAAAGCAUCGGCUAACUCCGUGCCAGCAGCCGCGGUAAUACGGAGGAUGCGAGCGUUAUCCGGAUUUAUUGGGUUUAAAGGGUGCGUCGGCGGGCUUUUAAGUCAGCGGUAAAAAUUCGGGGCUCAGCCCCGUCCGGGCGGUGAAACUGGGGGCC